AGCCUUCUCUAUCCGUGCUGUGAUUUCAUCACACACCAGACCACAAGGGCUGAUGAGACUUCCAAGAUAAGUGAAGCG
rfam:Schistosoma haematobium scaffold9_25, whole genome shotgun sequence.